ACCGGCGCACGGGUGAGUAACGCGUAUCCAACCUGCCCAUCACUUGGGGAUAACCUUGCGAAAGUAAGACUAAUACCCAAUGACGUCUCUAGAAGACAUCUGAAAGAGAUUAAAGAUUUAUCGGUGAUGGAUGGGGAUGCGUCUGAUUAGCUUGUUGGCGGGGUAACGGCCCACCAAGGCAACGAUCAGUAGGGGUUCUGAGAGGAAGGUCCCCCACAUUGGAACUGAGACACGGUCCAAACUCCUACGGGAGGCAGCAGUGAGGAAUAUUGGUCAAUGGACGAGAGUCUGAACCAGCCAAGUAGCGUGCAGGAUGACGGCCCUAUGGGUUGUAAACUGCUUUUAUAAGGGAAUAAAAGUGAGUCUCGUGAGACUUUUUGCAUGUACCUUAUGAAUAAGGACCGGCUAAUUCCGUGCCAGCAGCCGCGGUAAUACGGAAGGUCCGGGCGUUAUCCGGAUUUAUUGGGUUUUAAAAGGGAGCGUAGGCCGGAGAUUAAAGCGUGUUGUGAAAUGUAGACGCUCAACGUCUGCACUGCACCGCGAAACUGGUUUCCUUGAGUACGCACAAAGUGGGCGGAAUUCGUGGUGUAUCGGUGAAAUGCCUUAGAUAUCACGAAAAAACUCCCAAUUGCGAAGGCAGCUCACUGUAGCGCAACUGACGCUGAGCUCGAAAGUGCGGGUAUCGAACAGGA
rnacentral:rRNA from 1 species